GAUGAACGCUAGCGGCAGGCUUAAUACAUGCAAGUCGAGGGGCAGCACAGGUAGCAAUACUGGGUGGCGACCGGCAAACGGGUGCGGAACACGUACACAACUUACCUUCUGGUGGGGGAUAGCCUUUGGAAGCGGAGAUUAAUACCCCAUAUUAUAUAUGAGCCGCAUGGUUUGUAUAUUAAAGAUUUAUUGCCGGAAGAUGGGUGUGCGUAUGAUUAGGUAGUUGGCGGGGUAACGGCCCACCAAGCCGACGAUCAUUAACUGGGGUGAGAGCACGACCAGUCACACGGGCACUGAGACACGGGCCCGACUCCUACGGGAGGCAGCAGUAAGGAAUAUUGGUCAAUGGACGGAAGUCUGAACCAGCCAUGCCGCGUGGAGGAUGAAGGUCCUCUGGAUUGUAAACUUCUUUUAUAGGGGGCGAAAAAAGGGAAUUCUUUCUCGUCUGACGGUACCCUAUGAAUAAGCACCGGCUAACUCCGUGCCAGCAGCCGCCGUAAUAC
rnacentral:rRNA from 1 species